GAUGAACGCUGGCGGCGUGCCUAAUACAUGCAAGUCGAGCGAACAGACGCUGCGCUUGCUCCUCUGACGUUAGCGGCGCACGUGUGUGUCACAUGUGUAUCCUCUACUUAUCUGACUGGUAUCACUUCGGGACACCGGAUCUAAUACCGUAUAAUAUCUUGAACCGUAUUGUUCAAUAGUGAAAUUCGGUUUUGCUGUCACUUCUCGCUGGAUCCGCGCCUCUUUGUCUAGUUGGUAGGGUCACGGCUUUCUAAGGCUAGGAUGCGUAGCCGACGGGGGAGGCGGGUAGGCCGCCUGGGAGGUGGAACACGGUCCAGACGCCUACGGGAGGCAGCAGUAGGGAAUGUUCGGCAAUGGGCGAAAGCAUGACGGAGCAAGGCCGCGUGAGUGAUGAAGGUCUUCGGAUCGUAAAACUCUGUUAUGAGGGAAAAACAGAUGUGGAAGGAAAUGUGCACGGCUUGACGGUACCGAAUCAGAAAGCAACGGCUAACUACGUG
rnacentral:rRNA from 1 species